GUUGUACACCCUUCACAUAGGCCUCUCUCUCUCUGUCUGUAUCUCUCUUUCUCUGUCACGCAUGCACACACACACACACACACACACACACACACACACACACACACACACUGGAUGGCUCAAUACUUCACUCAGUUGGCCACACAGACACAUGCCGGGUCCAGAAUUUAAACCAUCCCCUUACACACACAAACACACACAUCACAAAUACAAAGCUCUGCACCUAAAUACACAUACAGCCAGCCAAGUGUAACAGAGACAGCCUGCCACAACCCACCUUUACACACACACACACACACACACACACACACUCACCACACACAUGCACACAUACAUUGCCAGAAUGAUCCAGCUUUGUUGCAUUGCUCUUCAAAAAUGCUCUGUUCCUGCUCCCCUGUCUCUCGUCCACAUUGAUACAAAUCAUAAGUUGAUAAGUUACUAAGAUGUAGAAUGUCUCCAUCAAAUCCAAUAAGAUACAACAGUGUCAUCUUUGGCAGGAUAGAUGGAUUUUCAAGGAAGAGUGGGAGCUGAUCAAGGGGUGGAAAAUGUAGAUAUUGCCAGAUGUAUGUUCACUGUACGAGGAACAGGCCGUGGAAGCUUAAUUGCUGGGUAAAGUGUCCAUAACCAGAGAUUCAGUAUAUGGAGGACCUGCUUCAUCAGGAGAAUCAUCUGGAAUCUGGAAACACUGGCAAUGGGGUCACUGUUCCUGACAUCCCAUAUGCCCCCUGUCUACUGGGAAUCUUGCUGUGCUGCAACGUCAAGUGAACCCAACCCCUGGACAUAUUCAGCUCUGGAGAAAAUGAAGAGACCACUGCAAAAUGAUCCGUUUCUCUGGUUUGACUAUUUAUAGCUCUGUGUUUGGGUCCACAUUUCACAGUGGGUGUGAGACACUGUGGCUUGUAGGCCUCUCCAGGUCUCGCACCCACUGUGGCUUGUAGGCCUCUCCAGGUCUCGCACCCACUGUGGCUUGUAGGCCUCUCCAGGUCUCGCACCCACUGUGGCUUGUAGGCCUCUCCAGGUCUCACACCCACUGUGGCUUGUAGGCCUCUCCAGGUCUCGCACCCACUGUGACAUUUGGUUGUCCUGGAUGAAAACUUGCUUCCUUCUGCUCUGACAAUGUUCCCCAACUCUGAGGAUUGGUUUUUCCAGUAGGACAAUGCUUCAUGCCACACAGUCAGGUCAAUCAAGGUGUGGAUGGAGGACCACCAGAUCAAGACCCUGUCAUGGCCAGCCGAAUCGCCAGACCUGAACCCCAUUGAAAACCUUUGGAAAGUGAUCAAGAGGAAGAUGGAUGGUCACAAGCCAUCAAACAAAGCUGAGCUGCUUGGAUUUGUGCGCCAGGAGUGACAUAAAGUCACCCAACAUCAAUGUGAAAGACUGGUGGAGAGCAGGACAAGACACAUGAAAGCUGGGAUUGAAAAUCAGGGUUAUUCCACCAAAUAUUGAUUUCUGAACUCUUCCUAAGUUAAAACAUUAGUAUUGUGUUGUUUAAAAUGACCUUUGCAUUAUUCAAGGUCUGACAACACUGCAUCUUUUUUAUAUUUUGACCAAUUGUCAGUUUCUGCAAAUAAAUGCUCUAAAUGACAAUAUAUUUACUUGGUAUUUGGGAGAAAUGUUGUCAGUAGUUUAUAGAAUAAAACAAACAUUUUUAUUUUACCCAAACACAUACCUAUAAAUAGUAACACAUACCUAUAAAUGUACAUGCAUGCUCUUCAAUUAGUUAUGAGCCUCCAGCCUUUUUAGGUGCAGUCCUCCCACACUAUGUAGGAUAUUGUUUUAAGGGGGGGAGGGUGAAAGGAUAGCAGGCCCUGCUGUCAAAGUGAGAGAGUAGGCUAUUCUGGAUAGAGCAGGUACUUUAGUGUAGUCUAUUUCUUGUGAGGUUUUCUGUCCUCGGAUGCAGAGAGCUGUGAAAGCCUGUCUGCAGAUGAAGAGGUCGAAGGGCAGCGGUUCUCAGUCCUGUUCCCAUGGGACUCAAAGGGGGGCACAUUGUUGUUUUUGCCUUUAGCACUACACAUCUGAUUCAAAAGAUCAAGUCAUCAUCAAGCUUCAAGGGGUAUUUAUCUAUUCAUUUGUGACGCUAUCCUUGAUCUGAUCCUGCUAUUGUCACAUGCUACACAAGCACAUGCAUCUAUCUAUCCAAUGUUAUCAUGAUUUGUUAUAAGGGAUACUAUACUUAUAUUAUACAAGGAAAUAUUAUUAAAGAGAUGCUUUACAUUGAAAUACAGAUAGAGAUGUAGUAGUCCCAGAGUUAAUGAUCCAAGGUCAGCUUUGCAUUUCACCUCCUGAUGAUUAUGAUGACUGACCGUGUUAGAAUCAAAUUUUAAAAACUUUAUCAUGCUCUCUCUUUAUCCAUCUGUCUCUCGUCUGCAGGUAUGUUUUGAUGUGAGAGAGGAAGCCAGUCCCGUCAUCGCCACCUCACCCACUCUUAAGAUGACCUUCGGGCCGACUGGGAGCCCAAGGCUGGUUAGGAGACACCGCUAGAGACACUAUGUAAUUGUGAUGAAGUGAGAGAAUAUUAGGGUAGCACUGUAAUUCAUUAAUCAUAUGCUGUCUUCCCUGCUCCUCUGUUCUUACCCCUUUCCCUUUCUGUCUUCUACAUCUCUCUCCCUUUCUGUCUUCUACAUCUCUCUCCCUUUCUGUCUUCUACAUCUCUCUCCCUUUCUGUCUUCUACAUCUCUCUCCCUUUCUGUCUUCUACAUCUCUCUCCCUUUCUGUCUUCUACAUCUCUCUCCCUUUCUGUCUUCUACAUCUCUCUCCCUUUCUGUCUUCUACAUCUCUCUCCCUUUCUGUCUUCUAC